AACGAACGCUGGCGGCAUGCCUAACACAUGCAAGUCGAACGAGACCUUCGGGUCCAGUGGCGCACGGGUGCGUAACGCGUGGGAACCUGCCCUCAGGUUUGGAAUAACUCCCCGAAAGGGGUGCUAAUACCGGAUAAUGUCUUCGGACCAAAGAUUUAUCGCCUUUGGAUGGGCCCGCGUUGGAUUAGCUAGUUUGUAGGGUAAAAGCCUACCAAGGUGACGAUCCAUAGCUGGUCUGAGAGGAUGAGCAGCCACACUGGGACUGAGACACGGCCCAGAUUCCGACGAGAGGAAGCAGUGGGGAAUAUUGGACAAUGGGCGAAGGCCUGAUCCAGCAAUGCCGCGUGAGUGAUGAAGGCCUUAGGGUUGUAAAGCUCUUUUACCCGGGAUGAUAAUGACGGUACCGGGAGAAUAAGCUCCGGCUAACUCCGUG
rnacentral:rRNA from 1 species